GACGUAGGGUCCAAGCGUUGUCCGGAUUUACUGGGCGUAAAGAGCGCGUAGGCGGCUCGUUAAGUGUGAAGUGAAAUCUCCAGGGCUCAACCCGGAAACUGCUUCGCAUACUGGCGGGCUAGAGGAAUGCAGAGGUUUGUGGAAUUCCUGGUGUAGCGGUGAAAUGCGUUGAUAUCAGGAGGAACACCUGCGGUGUAGACGGCUUUCUGGACCAUUGCUGACGCUGAGACACGAAAGCGUGGGUAGCAAACAGG
rnacentral:rRNA from 1 species